AUACGUAGGGAGCGAGCGUUGUCCGGAAUUACUGGGCGUAAAGGGCGCGUAGGCGGCGCUUCAAGUCGUCUGUCAAAUGGGAGGGCUUAACCCUUUUUCGCAGACGAAACUGGAGAGCUUGAGAAGCAGAGAGGCAAACAGAAUUCCUGGUGUAGCGGGGAAAUGCGUAGAUAUCAGGAAGAAUACCAGUGGCGAAGGCGGUUUGCUGGCUGCAUACUGACGCUGAAGCGCGAAAGCCAGGGGAGCAAACGGGAUUAGAUACCCCGGUAGUCCUGGCAGUAAACGAUGUAUGCUGGGUGUGAGACUAGCGAUAGUUUCGUGCCGAAGUUAACGCGAUAAGCAUACCGCCUGGGGAGUACGGUCGCAAGAUUGAAACUUAAAGGAAUUGACGGGG
rnacentral:rRNA from 1 species